UCUACUUUAUUAAGCAACAUGCAUAUUUAAUAAAGGAAACUAAUACAAAUAACCAAGAAAAAUUCAUUUAGAACAAGCUUCAAUAUUGUUUUUCAUAUACACCACAAGUGUUUAUUUGAGUUUUUUUCUUGUUAUUUCAAUUUUGUCAAAAACCACAGUUCACUUUGGUAUGCGUUUGAAGUUUAAACGUCAUGUUGUGAAUUUUACAUUUAAUUCUUUUCUCCACACAAAAAUUUGAUCAAGUGCAUUUUACGUUAAAAAGUUGUCGUUUUCUUCGAUACCGGAAAUGAGAAAGUAUGUGGCGGAAAUUGUAUUCACAAAUCGUCCAGUUAGCAUUAGAGAGAAAGUAGAGGCUCUCAUUUGUGAUGUGUCACCUCAAGAUCUCUCGGUCGAAUAAAUAAGAUAUGAUUGUCGUCAAAAUGCCACAAAAUUUCAUUUCAAUAUUAUUUUAUAUUUUCCGGGGUUUACCAUGAUAAUAUUCCCUUAAUAGUGCGGGUCUAAAAAUGUUAAUUACUGCAUAUGUAUGCUUGUUCUUUUAAAUUACGGUAAAUUAUUAAGAUUAUGGAUGUUGCUAUGUCCAUUAAAUGGAGUAUAGGGUCCUUACCAACCAGUGAGUAAUAGUUCAUCACUUGAAGUUCACUAAGUAAAGCAGCACUGUACUGCCCUUCUUUAGUCUUUAUUUUUGGUUUUGCAAAACUCAUUUCGCUAACAGUGGCAUAAAAUUGAAGUUUGCGGGAUAUAUUGCCAAGUUGUCCAGCCACAGCAAUAUGAUUAUGCAGACAUAAAGGAAUCACGUUGAGCAAUCAGCUUGAAAAACAAUAAGGAUUGAAUACGAAGUGUACGAUUCCUUAAGCUACACAUACAAUUCAGCAGAAAUUGAGAAAUAGAAAAAAUUAAGAGAAAAAGUUAAAUAAACAAAAAAUGUGAAAGGAAGCUUGUGUAAAACCAAACUCCUGGGGAUUGAGGUGAACUUAAGCAAACACUGUUGCAAAAUUGCGCAGAAAAGUGAUAACAAAUGGAAAAGUAAGCAAAAGCGAUAGAUAUUCAUGACCUUGCCUUGACUGUGCUGAGAGAGUGAAAGAACGGAUAUUUACCUGGACAAAAAUGGUGAAGCGAAGUCGAGCAACACCAAAACAGAAGCUAGAUGAAUGCACAAUAAACCGAGCGCUUUGUGCCAAGUACACUUUUUGAGAAUUAAGAAGAGGAAAUAAAAACGUUUCUACAAAUAUGCAACGUCGCUGAGUUAAGUAUGAACUUGCCAUAGCAAUACUAGCAUGAACAUCCAGAUAUGCGUUCGUGUGUAAAUUUUUGGAGAGUUGGGAAAGCUGCUUGACGAUUAUGAGACUUGAUGACAUGAAAAGGUGCACCGUUACGUGCUGCUUCUCUAUAAGUAUGUGCUGAUAAUAAAGGACCUGGAGGAUACGCCAGGUGUGACAUUUUGAUGGUGAUGAUGAAGAACUUGAUAAGUAGGAUUGGACCGGAAUACUAAAGAAUGCAAGAUAAUAUUUGAAAUCUGUACAAAUUACAAAUCAUUUCUUGUGUUUCGAUGUAUUCUGAGUUAAAAAUAGUUCAAGCAAACAAGCUUGGUUUGUGCUCAUCUCAAGGGCGUCACUGGUCGCGGACUAUUUCAACAUCUCGUAGGCCGAAUGCUAACAGUGUAAUGCUAGACGGAUCUUUCCGACCUUAUGGCUGCACAUCGCAUUUCAAGAUUUCAGAUUACAUGCAAUUCAGGAAUAAUUUGCGUUCUUUUCACUUCCUUGGUUGCCUUUAAUCGGAGCUUUAGUCGGCUGUUGGUGUCGAUGUAAUAAAAGCACGAGGGUUGUGGUUUUGCUACGGUGCAUAUACGAACAUAACUUGAAAAGAGCAUCGGCUGUAUGAAAAUGAUUGCCGUCGGGUAGGCUGUUCGAUGUGGAGUUUUGGCAAGAGACCAAAACAAUAUGUGGAGAUGUGCCGCCGCACUAUUGGGAAACUCCCUAUUCUCAGCCCUACUUUGACAACUCAUCGAGACGUGAAGUGACAGCGACAGUGGGCCAGGCAGCGCUGUUGCACUGUCGCGUACGCAAUUUAGGAGAUAGAGCGGUGUCUUGGAUACGUAAACGUGACCUGCAUAUACUCACCGUCGGCAUACUCACCUACACAAAUGACCAACGAUUCCAAUCGCUGCACACCGAGGGUUCCGAUGAGUGGACAUUGAGAAUAUCGUCGCCGCAGCCAAGAGAUUCUGGCACAUAUGAGUGUCAAGUGUCCACUGAGCCGAAGAUAAGUCAAGGAUUUCGACUGAAUGUCGUAGUAUCUCGAGCAAAAAUUCUUGGCAAUGCGGAACUUUUCAUCAAAAGCGGCAGUGACAUAAAUCUCACCUGUCUCGCCAUGCAAUCGCCCAUACCGCCAUCCUUCAUAUAUUGGUAUAAGGGUAAACGCGUGAUGAAUUAUUCACAACGUGGCGGCAUCAACGUCAUAACGGAACGUUCGACACGGACCAGUAAAUUAUUGAUAGCCAAGGCAACGCCAGCCGAUUCUGGAAAUUAUACAUGCUCGCCGAGCAGUUCAGAUUCUGCAUCGGUGGUGGUGCACGUGAUCAACGGUGAACACCCGGCCGCCAUGCAACACGGCAACAGCAGCGCUAAUCGCCUAUCCAAUACACUACACGGCUUUCUCCAACGAAUAACCCGACGCGCGCUCACCACACUGGCCGCAAGCUUUACCAAAGUAACAACAACAGCAGCAAAGUGUUCAAGUGAACAUCCUCUGGUCACCGGGCUACUGCAACGCCAGACAGUGUGGCCUGUGACGUUGUUCUGGCGCUUGCUACAACAGCUACUGCUCGCCGCGACCACAACAAAUUGGUGCAUCGUGUCUGUGGGCUGGUUGCUCUCCAGGUGGGCCCUGCAAUGCGGUCACUGGCAGCAUCGUCAAGCACAACUACAGCAACAACAAUUGCAAAUGCAGAGACACCAAGUGCGACGGCCACUAGAGAACCAUUGCUACUGCUGGUGGUGGCAUUGGCGGCGGUGGGCCGCUAGCGCUUCAUUGCUCAGGUGAUUGCAAAAUUGAGCAAAAGCGCGCAAAUAAGCGAGUAUGAACAGAUACAAUGGCAUGUAGAGGAGUGUAUCGACUGCGAUUUUGCACAUUUAGUGAUUGUAGUUGUAAUUGUAUAUAUGUAGGCAUGUGUAUUUUUUAUUGUUUUAGUUUUUUUUUUUAAUCUUUUGUUUCACCAAUCGCUCAGUAUGCACAGAAAGGUGAACAGUUGCUAGUCUCUCUGAUAAAUUUUAAUAUUCAAUUAUUGUGAUUGCGUUGCCUGGAAGCGCAUGGAAGUGGACUCGUAUGACAGACAUUAAUACGACUUCAUUUGGAUUGUAAUUUGAUCGGUUUAAACGCAAAUUUCAUUUUCAUGAUGCCUGGGUGCAGUGCGCAAAUAGCAUUUUAACCAAAUCACAUUUUGAAUGCAUAUAAAAUGACAAAUAUAAAAAGACAAGCAUAGAAAUCGGUGAUGAAAAAUAACUGAAUCAUUGAGCGCAUGCGACACUUUAUAAUUGAUGUAUUGACUGUGCUGCGUAGCAUUUAAGAACAAUAAUUCGUGUAAACAACGCAUUUGCAUUUUCUGAUUGUACGACUAAUGAGAUCAUAAUUGUAAUUAAAUCACUCGUUAUAAAUGUAUAUGAUAAAGAUUAGCAUUUAUAUGGCUUAUACUCGUGUGUGGUGAAAAACAUUAAAUUAAACGCUACAAAUUUGUAAAGAGUAUAAAGUGCUAUUAGGCACAUAAAUUUCAAACAGUAUUGCAAGCAACGAAAAUCUGAAAGUACUUUUGGGGAAAUGGUUUAAAUAUUUACACGAGCAUUUUAAUCAGUUAUGGCUGGACUUUUUAAUAUUUAAAGAAAAAUUCGUAUUAUUUUUAGAGAGCACUGUCCGUUCUUACAUUUCCUAACUCAUUUUCAACAUAGUAAAAAUGCAGAACUGCUUCACCGCCAAAGACUAAGCGGCUCAUUACUCUUCUCCAUAUAUUUUAUUUUUUAUACCCAGGGUAUAAAAGGUUUGCCACGAAGUUUGUAGCACACAAAAGGAAACGUCGAAGACCCUACAAAGUAUAUAUAUUAUUGCUAAGCGUGACGAGCUGAGUCGAUUUUGCCAUGUCUGUCUGUCUGUCCGUCUGUAUAUAUGCGAAUUAGUCCCUUAGUUUAUGAGAUAACGACCAGAAAUUUUACACACGUCCUUUUCUAACCAAGAAGCUGCGCGUUUAACGAAAUCGCCGAUAUCGGACCACUAAAGUGCUUGUAAAGAUGAGAUGAGAUAUCUUCAUGAAAUUUGCAUUAGAUUAUGAAUAAGACAAUAAUGCAAUCUCCAAAGAAAUUGCUAGUAUCGGAUAACAAGAACAUAUAGCUGUCAUCCAAGCUGAACGAUCGAACUCAAGUGCUUGUAUCUUCAAGAAAUUUGGAUAGAUUAUUAUUCUGUGCAUCGCUACAAUCCUAUAACAAACUGUUUAGAUCGAACCCAUAUAGCAUAUAGCUGUUAUAUAAACUGACGGCUCAAAGUCAAGAUACAGAACUUUUUAUACCCAUUUAUGCUAGAAAAAUGCAGCUGUGAAGGGUAUUUUAGCUUCGGUGCAGCCGAGUUUAACGUUUUUUCUUAUUUUAUGUUAAAACUUAUUUAAUUUGUUUUGUAGCCUGAAAAUUUAAAAUAUUAGCUUAAAUGAAAAAGUAGGAGUACCAUUUAGCACGGUUAUAAGAAUUAAGAAGUUAAGAUGGGAAUUGUCUUUGCCUGAAGUGGUGCUUGUGGAAAAUGUACACCCGCCAGAAUCUGUAUGGGCGGCAUUGCCUAUCUAAUAUGAGCACAUUUACAUACAUACAUGUGUACAAAAACACAUCCCCUGGGUAUCGUAGGUUGUACACAAAGCAAAUUAAAAAAUAGAAUGGACGGGAAUGAAAUAAACUUGGAAAUAUAAUAUAAUAAAAAACAAAUUUUUAAAUUGAAAAGCAAUUUUAACCAAUUUUGCAUUUAUUAAGUGACAGCCAAAUUAUUUUGGGCACUUGAAUCAUGAAUUACAAAUCCCAAUGCGCAUGAGAGCUUCCCCGGUACUAUAAGCUACUUUAGUGCGGUGGCUUACCUGCUAAUACCUAGAACCAGGCACAUAUUUAUUUAUCAUCGCAUAAUUUUCUGCUCUGUUUCAUUGCGUCGACGCACUGGCACUCCAAUCGACAAAUGUACGCGCGCAUACACUUAAACACCUUAAACACUUUCACAUAUCCUGCAUAUAUUUCGGUAUAGGCUCCUGUGCCUGUGCGCGUACACAUGCAUGCGCGUGUGUACAUAAGCGCGCAAGUACUUGUAAGCGGAAGCAGCGCCAGCUCUAAGCGCUCUUGCGUGGCCAUGCAUGAAAUUCGUGCGCAUACAAGCACACCCUCCACCACUUAUUUCCUCAUUCCAUGUGGCAAUAAUUUAGUAAAAUUUUUAUGCACCCAUAUGCAAGUAAUUGUCCUUUGCAGCUCCGUUCAUAAAAACACAUUAGGGCAUAAUUUCACGCAGCGCCCUUGUCGCUUGGGUGAGCAUUCUAAAAGGUGGCAAAGAGGCUAGGUACAAGUGGGGCUUGUUUUUCAAGUGUGCCCAUAUUUUUCAUGUACACACAAUUUUUGUGGUAAAAUAUGAAGUUACUACAAAAAUCUACAAGAAAAAGUAUGCACGUACACGUACAUAAAAGACCUUUGUAAAUUUUUAUUUAAAUGUUCACAAAAUAUUUCACGUUUUUGUGAUAGAGGCUGUUUCGCGCUGUUUGGAAAUUAAUUCUGAAACAAUUUUGUGUACGAUAAGGUAAUUUACUAUGUAUUUUCGAAAAGCAACUUAUAAUUGACUCGGCGUCAUGUACAAAUUACUGCUUGUUUUCACAAUACUAAAGCUUGAAGUUUGGAUUAAAGUUUUUUACAUUUUUUCGAAAAUAUUUGUAUGACCAACAGUUAUAUAAACACAUUUAAAAAAUACUGUUAAAAUUACACGGAAUAUUUCUUGUAGUAUGCCUAAAAGCUUGAUGUGGUUAAUUAAUUGGCAGCCCUAAUGUGCGCGAGCUGAUAUUUAUAUCUGACUUAAACACGUACAAACGCGGCUGCUGCUCGCACACUUGCCUCUUUUAAACGUUUAUGCAAAAAGGCAUUUUGUUUGUAUGCAUAUCGUAUGCAUAUGAAUUUGUUCGCUCCAGGGAAAUAUAAUUUUAUUAAUAUCAUCAAAUUUUAUGCCACAAUAAUAAAAGUAGGCCAUAAUGUUGCCAAUGACAAUAUUUAAUAUUUAAUUUUGCUUUAAAUAUUCGUUUUUGUUUUUGGUACUUCCUUGAUUACUUCCUUUGUAAUAAGCGCAUGGUAUAUUUCGCACGAAUUUAAUGUCACAGGGGAGUUUAGUUUUUGGUAUCAUGCCUCCAACCACUGAUAACUGGAGCAUGAAAUUUAUGAAUACAUUUAAAUUACGAGAAUAAUUCAAUUAAUUUUUCAUUGUCCUGCAGGAUACAAAAAUAAGUUAAUAUUUACAUUUUAAUUACGGCCGGCGUGUGAAUUUUGAGCGUCAAUUGAUUGAAUUCAUCCCUUAGCAGCAUCACUGUUGCUUAAUUAAUAAUAAUACCAAUAUAUAACUGAUGGCAAAUCCAAAUAUUUUGGGUAAAAUUUAGUACUUCGCCUAGCGAAGUCGUCCUUCAUAAAUAACAUGAAAACGUCAUUCAUAAGUAACGCGAAUUGAGUUUUGUUGAAUCGAAAUGAGUUUAUGCGUGCAUACCUCCAAACAUGUUCUGCAGUAAUGCUAAUAAUGAAAUUUGCAAUGGAAUGUUUUUAACUCCCUCGAAAGUUCCUAGAUCUCGUAGUUUUCUGAAGUUCAAAAAACAGCCAUUUAACCCCUUGUAUUUUUGAAAAAUGUAAAUAAAUAUGUACAUAUAUAUAGAUGUAUAUAGAAAUUGUGUAGUGUAAUUUAAGCAGUUCGGUUUGGCGAAUAACGCUACUCAUAAACAUACAUACAUACACCUUUACAUGUAAGAGAAUAUUACGCAGAUGUUGAAUGUAGGUAAAAUUAUAGCCACUUAAACCAAAACAAUAAAGUAAAGAAUUUUUGAAAUGUGAAACCUUGUAACCCGAGAAUUACCUUACUCUACCAAGUUGAAAAAUAUUAAAACUAAAAAUAAAAUACUAAAUGUAAUGUGAAAGCAAAACCAAAAAUCCAUUCAAAGUAUAUAUGUUAAAAAGAAAACCUAGAAAGAAGCAAAGCUAUCGAAAAUAGACAGAUGAGAGGCAACUUCUAAAUUGAGAGACGUUAAAAUGCAAAUAAAGCACAAAAUAUAAAUAUAUUAUAUGCCACACGAGUGACUAGAAAAGUAAGAUAUUGAAAACACUCAUUACAACACAGUUGUGAGUCUAAACGGUAAAAUUAAGUAAAUAAGAUACAAAGAAAUGAGAGAACCAAAUAUUGAACUCUUUGCGGUACAUUGACUAAAGAGCGGUCCAUUGCCGCUUAGGCCAGAGCGGGGAUGGAAGGAAUAGUAGCUGAACAUGGUUCGAGUUACACUAUUCCGCCGAUGAUUACUAAUUGUUAGAAUUAAUUUAGUGUAAGUCACAUAUAAAUCCACAUGCAGUGUGUCGAAUUACAAGUAUUUAUAAGAUGAAUAAAGCAAAAAAAACAACAAAAGUUAGUUAGUUAAGUUAGUGAAAAUAAAUACCAAUAUAUAAAUAUUUUUUAUUUGUAUUGAAAUUUUGAAUGUUUUUCGGGUUCUUUUUUGUUUAGGCUAUAGAAAUUUAAAAUUAAGCGGAAGAAGAGAUGGCACAGAAAUGUUGUAAAAUAAAAAGUAUAUGUUAAAAUUAAAAAA